UCAGAACGAACGCUGGCGGCAGGCCUAACACAUGCAAGUCGAGCGCACCUUCGGGUGAGCGGCGGACGGGUUAGUAACGCGUGGGAACCUACCCAAUACUAAGGAAUAGCCUUUGGAAACGAAGAGUAAUACCUUAUACGCCCUUCGGGGGAAAGAUUUAUCGGUAUUGGAUGGGCCCGCGUUUGAUUAGAUAGUUGGUGGGGUAACGGCCCACCAAGUCUACGAUCAAUAGCUGGUUUGAGAGGAUGAUCAGCAAC
rnacentral:rRNA from 1 species